AUGAACGCUGGCGGCGUGCCUAAUACCUGCAAGUCGAGCGCACAGACGAGGAGCUUGCUCCUCUGACGUUAGCGGCGGACGGGUGAGUAACACGUGGAUAACCUACCUAUAAGACUGGGAUAACUUCGGGAAACCGGAGCUAAUACCGGAUAAUAUAUUGAACCGCAUGGUUCAAUAGUGAAAGACGGUUUUGCUGUCACUUAUAGAUGGAUCCGCGCCGCAUUAGCUAGUUGGUAAGGUAACGGCUUACCAAGGCAACGAUGCGUAGCCGACCUGAGAGGGUGAUCGGCCACACUGGAACUGAGACACGGUCCAGACUCCUACGGGAGGCAGCAGUAGGGAAUCUUCCGCAAUGGGCGAAAGCCUGACGGAGCAACGCCGCGUGAGUGAUGAAGGUCUUCGGAUCGUAAAACUCUGUUAUUAGGGAAGAACAAAUGUGUAAGUAACUAUGCACGUCUUAACGGUACCUAAUCAGAAAGCCACGGCUAACUACGUG
rnacentral:rRNA from 1 species